rnacentral:lncRNA from 1 species
CGAACCAGGAAGACACUGAAGAACGUUUCUCUGCAUGUUGCUCCUGGUGGACCGACAGGGACGCUGUUUUGAAAAGAAGCCAAUGGCAGAGGAAGGAGACUGGGCAAGAUAAAUGCAAUUUACCUUUGUCUAACCAACCACUGCAAUGGCCCUUUGGCCAAAUGGUGGUGGAUAACUACAUAUGUUAUUUUUAUUAUUGUGUAAAUGUGAAAACUGCAUAUUUUUUUAAGUGAUGGGGAUUCAGAAAGCCCAAACUUGUUCUAUUUAAUACUUUUGUCAAGAGAAGCAUCUUUACCCAUAAAGACACAAAGUAUUUUCAUAUGCAUGGAGCCUUGUAGCCAUGAGACAUUUUUGUAAAGCAAUGUAGUAUACUAGGUUAUAAACUUCCCAAAUAUUAAAAUCAAGCACUUUUGGGAGAGAUAUUAACUCUUUUAGGCAAUGCACACAAUUCCCCAAGUGCUCAUUGUAAAUCCAGGAAAUCACAUUGUCGGUGGAGUACAGGAAUAAUUUUGCUCCAAAGCGUUUCUGCACCAUACGUAAUUCCAUUUUAGGGAGUAAAGAUGUUUAGCGCAUGUCAGGAGGGUCUGCCUGUUGGCUCUGCCUUGCACCACUGUUGUCAUAAAUCAGUGCUGCCGCUGCAGAAUCAGCUAAUUUCUCAGAAGACUUCCAUGGAAACAUGCUCUGCAGUUGUUUACAUUGGGGGUGAGAGCUUUCAAUCCGAAUCAUUGUUCCAAAAUAGAUGAAUGUCACCUGUGAUAUCCGUUAAUGCAUUUCAGGCAUUGGGGGAAAGGGAACGGAAGUUGAAAAUUGAGCUGCCAAGACUUGCUUCCAAUUGUGGCCGAAUCCCAGGCAGUAAUGGGGAGCUGGAAGAAGGGGUAGAUACCAGCUCUCCACAUGGAAAGGAGUUGCAGACAUGUAUGUUUCCCAAGGCUCUGGGACACAAUGGAGGCAGUUUUGUUGAGAAGCCAGGCCUGCCAGGCACUGGGACCAAUGGCUGGCUUAGCCUACAAAGGCAGGAGUUAGGCUCCAAGAAUGUCCCAGGCAUACAGAUGGAGAAAAGUGCAGGGCUCUACUCUCUUCCUCAGGCCUCAGAUAAUUCUAGAAGUUGGAAUUCUGAAACACGUCUCCUGGAUGUAUAGAUCAAAAGCUUGUGUGUUCAGCUUGGAAGACAGCCACAGAGCUGGUUAUCAGUCAGGAAGCAAGCGUGUUUUGUCAACUGGGUGGUGUGCUCUUUCUCCACAGCCAAAGAUAGUCUUCAGACUUUGCAGUGGCCCAAGUGCAAAUCGUGAGAUUUGUCUUCACUGGCUUGUAAGGUAUUUGGCACAAAAGUGAUCCGAGCUGAUUCUCUGGGGUGACUUAAUUUGCUUCUGAGAAAUAAGGAGGAUGCACUUAAUGGGAACAUUUCAACUAUGAAGGAAAGUAAGUUUUAAAGAUUGUGGAAAACACUGAGGGAUAUCAGCAGUAUAAAAGAAAACCCCCAUUUCCACUCAGCCUACCCUGGGAGCAAAAUCUCAUGAGGGGUGUUUGUGUAUGUGCAUGUCCGUGUGCAUGUGUGCAAGUAUGGCAUAGGAUGGGGUAGAGUAGAACGGGAAUCUCAACAUGGCCAUAGCAGAGAUAUAACUAGUGUGUCAGGUAUAGGAGCUAACAUCCACAGGGAUCUAGGUUGGGAGCAAGUGCCAAAAGAAUGCAUGGCUUAAAUCAGAGCCACAGAUUAACAAAGGAACUUCGUGUUUUUAGAUUUGCCACACUGUUUAAUGACCAGUGGUCCCUGAUAACACCACAAAGACCACUACAUGGACUCUGUGUCAGGAAAUCCAAGUUUAAAGCAUCAUGGCCUAGGGCAGCACACACAGAAGAGAAGGCCCAGUGUCUGUCAGGAGCAGUGACUUUUGGCUUCUGGAGCAUGGUCAGCUUUCAGACACUGGCAAAAGGUGAUGUCAUGGGUCUACACACCACUCUACAGAUGAGGCCCUUUCUAGUCAUCUCUCCAUAGGCAUUGAGUUUUAUGAAUGGGAUGUGUUUUUCCCAUUGCUUCCUUCCCUUCCCCUCCUCCUGGAAAAGGAAAUUUCAUUAAGAGUUCACUAUUAAGAGAUACGUCAGGAAAGCAAAAUCAUGAGAUUUUAGACUAAGGAGAGUAAAAAUCUGAAAAUCUGAGAUGGACAUAAUCUGAGAAAUUAAAUAAUGGUGCAAUUGGGUGAGCCUUUCAGCAGCCUGGUUUUGGGGUGGGGUCUGCAUAUGGGCAGGAGUUUUGUAUUGAAUCAUUUGCCCCCGUGUUCUAGGCUUUCUCUAUCCGGGUCACUAGUCUGAAAACAAAGAACUGAGUAGCCAAUAGCUGUUGGUUAGCUAUAGUGUGCUGCUGAGGGUAGAUGCCGCUCAGCACAAGGUGAUGGACCCCCUUAUGAUAAAAGUGGGGUCUCUUAUCUUGUUCACAUUGCCUGUGGUAUGGGUGCCACUUCCACCUUUCUUCUCAUCAGGUGAGGAAUAAGUGAAUGAGUGAGCAUGUGAAUGCAUGAGUGUGUGCAUGUGUGUGUGAGAGUGUCUUCCCUGAGCCUGCUUAGUAGUUCACUGGUAUUUCUGGGUUUUCGGAGCCUCUUAGAAAUUUAACUUUUCCAGUUGACUUUAGAUACCUAGAGCCAUUGGCAUUAGGACAUUUCAUCUGCUGUUGGCUGACUCUGUUGUUUUAAUAACUGGGAUUUGAUGGCCCGUCUCCUUUUUCACCCCUUUCCCUAGAGACACUCAUUCUCCAUCCCCCACUUUUCCCCGAGGUCACUCUUUUGCUGCAGGUUUGACUUGGGCACAUCAGCGAGAUCUUAAUUUUCCUGGGGAUGAGUCACCCCGAUUCAACAGAGUGGGCUUUGAGAAGCCCUUCUUACCUUUCUAGUGUCUGUUUACGUCAAACCCUUGAAUGACACACGCAGGGGAAAGCUCACAGAUCUCACUGUCCUAAGAUCACUCUGCAGCCCCAGGCCUGCUGACAGAAUAGACAGAAUGAUGAUGGAUUGAACUUGCCUCCUGCAGGCGGUAGUGCUCCAUUGUGGAGCUUGAGAUGGAGGUUGAUGUAAGGGGAGAAGGGUGUAUGGCAAAGCUCAGGCCAUCGCUGUGCACCUCAGACUUAGCAGCUCCAUGGUCAUCCUUUCAUCUCCCACAAGCUUUAUUUGGAAGAGGAGAACACCGUGGAGUCUCCCUUUUGGGGUCAACAAAUAUAUUAAAUGCCAUUGACCUGAUGUUUAGUUGAAUUACACACACACACACACACACACACACACACACACACACAUUUUUUUUCUAUCUGAAUCUUAUAAUUUUGACUAUUUGAAUGGGCAAACUAUGUGGCAUGAGAAUUGUUGCCAAUGGGGCUUUUUAAAACAGGUUUGCACUAGUGAGCUUGCGAAUCUUACUCUUUCCUUUCAAGACUGAAGAAAAUGCAACUGAGCUAAGAGUGUGGCUCUUAUCUGAAUUCGAAUUUCCUGGACACACCUUCAAACUCACAAGGCACUGUGUCUCUCCAUACUCACACCUUGGUGCCAUCUCCCUUCCCUGUAACCUGGGAUGACACAUCAUCACUUGAUCUGGCCGAUAAAUAGCAUGGAGAGAUGCUAUCAAGUUAAUGUCACAAAGCCUCAUGGCUUCUACACGAGAAUUUUUGGGCAUUCUUAGGACAUGUCCUGGAGACUGUAGACCUCAUGUAGUGAUAUGUCUAAGUCACCUGAAGAUGCCAGUCUUGCACCCCAGUAAGUUUCAAAGUCCAGGCUUGCACCCCAAUAAACUGAAGAGCAAUAAUGUAUAGCAACUGCUCUUACCUUGAACAAGCUGUUCUGUGGAAUGCAUCUCCAUUUUCAUGAUGUGCCUUUUGAAGCACAAUUAUUUUUUAAUGUGAAAAUCAGUUUUUAAUUUAUUUUCAGUGGAGAUCAGUAUACACACACACACACUGUUUGGUGGCAUUUUGAGAAACUGUGAGUCAAGGUCAUGAAUUUUGUGAGUUCAUGCAUGUGUGCUUUCUGGCUUUUACAUUUAGGUCCUGAAUAUGUCUCGAGUUUAGUUUUGUAUAUAGUGUAAAAUGUAGGACCAGCUUCACUCUUUGCGUACCGAUAUCAAUUUACUACAGUUAAGUUGUCUUGGGACACUUGUACAAAAUAAAUUUGCUAUGUACAUUUGCAUUUGUUUCUCAAUUUUCAAUUUAUUCCAUUGCUUUUGCUCUGUCUGCAGGUUUUCUGGAGUUUAAACUCACUUGGUUAGUGUUACAUUGCAGUAGAGUCUGAAAUUAGAAAGAUGUGUCAUCUGACUUUAACCUUUUAUUUUUCAAUAUUUUUUCCUGGGUAUUAAUUCUUCAUAUUAAUUUUAGGACCCAUGUUAGUAACAAGAAUCCCCUACCAUUUGGGAUUUUCAUAGGGAGUGCACUGAACAUGGGUAGCAGUCAGGGGAAUACAGCUGGCUUAAUAAUUGUCUCUCAGCAUGUGAACACAGGUGCAUUCAGAGCAGGGUUAAUUUUCAUUCACUGUAUUUUGUGGUUUCAGCGUACAUGUUGCCCAAAUUUUUUGUUAAAUUUAUUUUAAGCAUCCUAAUCUUUUUGAUCCUUUGAAAUGGAAUUGCGUUCCUCCUUCAAUCUUUGGUUUCUUCAUUACUAGAGUGUGGUGGAAAUUCACCUAUGUUCUGAGUAGUUGGUUAGUAAUUUGUAUGACAUUAUGAAUGAACUCCUUUGUAGCGUUUGUUAUUUUAAUUCCUUGUGAUUUUUCUCUGUGCAAAAUCUUAUCAUUGAUAAAUAAAGACUGUUGUGUUUCUUCCUUCCCAA